rnacentral:tRNA from 3 species
GCGGGCGUAGCUCAGUGGCAGAGCUCUAGCCUUCCAAGCUAGCCAUGUGGGUUCGAUUCCCAUCGCCCGCUCCA